CUGUUUGGAAAAUCGAUGGAUGGAUGUUUCUUCUGAAUGCUGCACAAGUCAGACAUUUUCAACCUUAGAAUUGAACUGAAAUGCCGCUCGUCCAAGCUCCUACUCAGAAACUCAGGAAAAUCAGAGGGGUCCAGGCCAAGGAGAUGGAGUGGGGGCCGGUGACUGUCACAUUGUGUGGAGCUGGGAUCCCAGAGGGGCAUGAUGGGAGCGGCUUGCAGGGUGCGUCCUGUGGAAGGUGAACUGGUGCCACAUCCCACAGCUGUGCAGGCCACUAGCACAAACGUGUAGCCUGUGAAUGGCUGCAAACCUAUAGCAGAAAAGAGGAUGAUUCAUAUGUGCACAAAUACAAACAGUUUGCCACUGCUUGUUUGCGUCAGAGAAUAUGAUAAGAUGAUGGGGCCAACCGUCACCGGAUACACAGCGCAAGGAGCCUUGGACAGACGACGUGAGGGCGAAGGCGGCAAUGGAGGGACAAGGGAGGGAAGGGACAAAUAGAAUGUAUGUGUAUAAGUAACAGCAAUAAGGUGAGAUUUAAAUAUACUCUAAUGAUGAGUUAAAUCAGGAUGAUGAGAAUAAGGGAAGGAGGGAGGGUGCUUUGAUAACACCUCUCCUGAAUAAUUAAGAGUUUGACUUCCUGUCUGUGGCUCUCUGAUGUGUCUCCAAUGGAGCACUGACAUCAGAUUCACGCAUGAACAUGUGCGGACGUAGCAUAGGACCCCACAGCCUCAAAUCUAAAUUUUAAAAUAUAUUUCAUUAUUAAUGUAUGAUUUUAAUGUAUUAGCAGGGAAAUAUUAGUGCUAUAAAUGUUGGGGCCAAUGUGAAGUAUAUACAAGGAAUAAUGUAUUGACAUAAUUUAGUACCGUUUAAGUUAAUACACCUUUCCAAGGUCACUAUCCAGGCUUUAGCAUUACUGUACAUAACUGUAAAUGACACACAAACAUGUGCAUGUACUUCCAUGGCUGCUUGAUAUGUUUGAAAAUUCAUUUCUGAAAAACAAGUUGCUUAUUUUUCAUUCCAAUGUAAUGUUUUUUAGUUUACGUGACACUUAUUGAUGAUGUCUUUGAAAUUAAAUAAUUCUCUUGUUAUUUUGACAAUAAAUAGUUUUGUAUAUUCAAAUCAUUAUAAAGUAUCUGUUUUUAGGGUGUUUGACAGCAUAAUACCAUCUCUUUUGAUAAGAUAAAAACAUAAGUUUUGAGUGGAAAAUUUUUAGUAUAAUUUGUUCGGAGACAUCUAAGUUAUAAAUAAACCCUCCUCUAUGGACAAGCUAUGAACAGGAGAGAGGGGAGGAAACCUGCCAAACAUCUGCCCCAUCUCAUUAUUUUCGUAACCCUAAGUGGAAUUCAUGAAGUUAAAGUUUUUAUUAUAA